GACGAACGCUGGCGGCAUGUCUAAUACAUGCAAGUCGAGCGAACAGAUGAAGUGCUUGCACUUCUGACGUUAGCGGCGAACGGGUGAGUAACACGUGAGGAAUCUACCUAUAAGCGGGGGAUAACAUUCGGAAACGGGUGCUAAUACCGCAUAAUAUCUUCUUCCGCAUGGAAGAAGAUUGAAAGACGGCUCUGCUGUCACUUAUAGAUGACCUUGCGGUGCAUUAGUUAGUUGGUGGGGUAAUGGCCUACCAAGACGAUGAUGCAUAGCCGACCUGAGAGGGUGAUCGGCCACAUGGGGACUGAGACACGGCCCAAACUCCUACGGGAGGCAGCAGUAGGGAAUCUUCCGCAAUGGCGAAAGCCUGACGGAGCAAUGCCGCGUGAGUGAAGAAGGCCUUCGGGUCGUAAAACUCUGUUAUAAGAGAAGAACAAAUUGUAGAGUAACUGCUACAGUCUUGACGGUAUCUUAUCAGAAAGCCACGGCUAACUACGUGCCAGCCGCCGCCGUAA
rnacentral:rRNA from 1 species